UCUGCCCCUAGAGGCAUUGCAGGUGUGGCUGCUGUGUGACUUGUGUAUCAGUAGAUGACAGAGGAGACAGGCUAUGUCUAUGCUCAGUGUUCUGACCUUUGAAUAUCUGAAUGAUUAGUGGCCUAACAGU